rnacentral:rRNA from 1 species
UGCGUAGGCGGGCCAUUAAGUCAGGGGUGAAAGUCUGCGGCUCAACCGCAGAACUGCCCUUGAUACUGGUGGUCUUGAGUUAUGGUGAAGUGGCCGGAAUAUGUAGUGUAGCGGUGAAAUGCAUAGAUAUUACAUAGAACACCGAUCGCGAAGGCAGGUCACUAACCAUUGACUGACGCUGAUGGACGAAAGCGUGGGGAGCGAACAGGAUUAGAUACCCUGGUAGUCC